CCUGCCCUUUGUACACACCGCCCGUCGCUCCUACCGAUUGAAUGGUCCGGUGAAGUGUUCGGAUCGCUGCGACGCGGGCGGUUCGCCGCCCGCGACACUGCGAGAAGUCCAUUGAACCUUAUCAUUUAGAGGAAGGAGAAGUCGUAACAAGGUUUCCGUAGGUGAACCUGCGGAAGGAUCAUUGUCGAGACCGAAAUUAUAUCGAGCGAUUCGGAGAACCCGUGAAAUAAGCGGCGGCCGCAGUCGCCGCGAAAUGGCCGUCCCCGCCGUCGGCCCCCCUGUCUGGAGGGGGCCGCGAUGGGGGACGGCUGAAACCCCAAACCGGUGCAGACUGGCGCCAAGGGAACUAUCGAAAGGCACGAGCCCGACAUCGGGUCCUCGUGGGGCGGAGCGGUGUUGCGCACCGCACGUAUUGACACGACUCUCGACAAUGGAUAUCUCGGCUCUCGCAUCGAUGAAGAGCGCAGCGAAAUGCGAUACGUGGUGCGAAUUGCAGAAUCCCGCGAACCAUCGAGUCUUUGAACGCAAGUUGCGCCCGAGGCCAAUCGGUCGAGGGCACGUCCGCCUGGGCGUCAGACGUCGCGUCGCUCCGUGCCAAGCCCACGCCGCCCCACCGUAGUGGGGGUGCCGGGCGAGGCUCGGACGUGCAGAGUGGCCCUUCGUGCCCAUCGGUGCGGCGGGCUGAAGAGCGGGUUGUCGUCUCAUUGGCCACGAACAACGAGGGGUGGAUGAAAGCUGCCGCGGGCAAGGCCCGCGUUGUCUCGUGCCGGCCCGAGAGAAGAUUGCGCCCUUCGUGCGAUCCCAUCCCAUGCGCCGUCCCCGGGCGGCGGCUUGGAACGCGACCCCAGGACGGGCGAGACCACCCGCCGAGUUUAAGCAUAUCAAUAAGCGGAGGAGAAGAAACUUACGAGGAUUCCCCUAGUAACGGCGAGCGAACCGGGACAUGCCCAGCAUGGGAAUCGGGCCGCCCUGCGGCGGCUCGAAUUGUAGUCUGCAGAAGC
rnacentral:rRNA from 1 species